UGAUUAUUCAACCGGAGACGCGCGUUGGGGAUUUUCUCCUCAGACAAGUGUUUCUGUUUUGUGGUCGAUUCUGGGAUCCUUUUCUUGGUGUGUCUUGAUGUUUUCUAUUGGCUAAAGACAUGUCUCUGUGAAACUGACAAUCUCAGGUAGGAGCUGCUGGUUUGUGGUUGGCAGUAUGGAUCACAGUCUGCGACUCAUGAGGAGCUGGGCUGGAGACAUGAAGAGGUUGUCAACAGGCCAUCCAUCCAAGAUCAUCUAUCUGAGCUGCUGAAAACUGCCUCGGUACGGAUCUGUUGGAGCUUUGUGUCACUGACUGUAUUUCUGCAAAUUAAUGUUCCAUGUCACAUGGCUUAUGCAAGACUGAAUCCAUAAAGGGGAUGGUUUGUGGAGACUGUGGGCGAUUCCUUCUGCUGUCAUUAAACAUGAGCAGGAGUAAUGACGGGAUUUAAAUGGACGCAGCUAAUAUUAUGCCAGAGUCCGCUGCUUAUGCUGUAACCAUAAAGCAACCAGGACAACACACCUGGAGUGACCGAGAGCAGGAUGAAGAAAGAAUCGGACGAGAAAAUAUCAACUGGUGCCCAUGAGGAGAUAUUGUUCUUGGACCUGCUUUUUCUGUUUAGUAAUAUGUGGUUUUAUGUGGUUACAUAAAAGUAAUUUAAUAUUCAAUCCACAAGCUAAAUUUCCUACAUUUUCUUAAAAGGGUAGUUGACCCAAAAAGGAAAAUUCUGUCAUUUACACAAACAGUUUGGUUACAAACAUUUCUCACAAUAUCUGCCUUCCUGUUUAUCAGAACAAAGAAAUUUAUGCGGGUUUGUAACAACAUGAGAGUGUGUAAAUGAUGUCAUAAGUUUCAUUUUUGGGUGAAGUACCCCUUUAACAUUUUUAUACACAGGGGUAGGGGUGUGCAGCGGAGUCAGUAUUUGUAUCUGUAACAGUCUCAAAAUUAUUUGUAUCUGUAUUUGUAUUUGGAUUAAACCGGAAGUGGGUGGGUUGACAACUCAUAUUACAUUAAAAUGGCAUUUUAAAUGCAUUUUUGCUUUUUAUUAUUAUUAUAACUUAAAUAACUGUAAAUAUUUAUUCAAAAUAAUAAUACAAAAUUUUAAUCAAAAAGACAAAUAACUUGAUUCUCGUUAGUAAUACUCAUGGAAAGCAAACAACUCAUUUUAAAGCCUCAUACAGCUUGUGCUAUGCAUCAUUGUACUGUAGCAUUAAAAUAACAAACUUGAAAGCACUGUAGGCUAGAUCACCUUUAAAUGUUUAUUGUGCCUGUCAGCACAGUUCCAUGAGACCCAUUCUUUCUAAAUGAGUGCGAUGUUUUCAGAAAAAAAUAAGUAGCCUACAUUAAUCCCUAGUCUAGCGAUUUAAAUAUAGUAAUUAAACAUCUAAAAUGAUCGUUAUUUGUAAGUUUUCUAAAAGAGUGAAAUAUAACCUAAUACUACUCAUAUCCAUGUCUGACAUCUUGGUUUCAGUUUAAAAACAUGCAGGAAUUUGAAAAUAAAAUGCAGGACUUGCUUGAUGCUUAAAGAGUUAUUAAGGGAGAUAAAGUUCGGGAACUGAUUUAUGUUAAAAAGUUGUUAAGAUCGACAAACUCGCGCUGACUGACAGAUCCGAAAUGCAACGCAGGGACACGCAAGUGGCGCAGUAUAUGCACAGAAUAGUUCAAAAACAUCUGUUAUGAUAAGAAUUUACGAAAGCAUAAUAAGCAUUAGAACAAACUUGCUGAGCUCAUUUUUAUCUAUGUCCAUAUAGCGUUUGCGCGAAUAUAACGAAUUGUUUAAAAAAAAACUUUCUUAUUAAUCUUCAUCUAAAUAAAUAUAUAAUCAGAUAGUUGUUUAAAUUUUUAAAUAACAGUAUGCUCUAUUAAAAAUCAGUUUUGACUUAGUUCAAAACCAGCAACAUGAUUUAAAACAACAAUGUAAUUAGAAAUAUUUAAUUCAAAUGUUUCAGUUGUUAUUUGCUUACUUUAAUUUUUAUUGCAAUUCAUGUCAUAGUAUUCUUCAGUUUAAAUUUUGCUUUUAAAAUGUUACAUUUUCAUAUUUUUAUCUAUUUACUUAUUUAUUUUAUAUUCGCCUAGAUUGACAAUAAAGCUUGCUUCGACUAGAAGUAAUUAAAAUAUCAUCUACCGGUGCCACAGAGAUACAGAGUUAUUAACGAAUAUUUUAUUAUCAGAGUGCAGCAUUUUAUCAAGGUUUUCUGUCCUAAUUAAAUAAAACGGAAUUUUUUUUACAGUUGGGUUAAAAGAAGUUUGAUAUUAGCAGCGUUUUUAAGAUUUUAAACUAAUUCCAAAACAGCUCGCGUUUCUAAAUAAGGGUUGCGCCGAAAAUGUCAUUUUAUAGAUUGCACUCAUUCACUUCACACACAUAUUAUUCUUGCUUUAAGGUGUUUAUAAUUUAGAGCUGUUCCAGUAAACAUGUGAUUAUGUCUGGCCGAAUAUUUUCUAUGUUAUUCGGAUGAAUUCGUUGUUCGUUUUGAAGCUAUUAUCCGUGCCCUUCCGAAUAACGUAUUCGGCUUCGGUCACAUCCCUACCCAGGGGUAAAAGAAAUGUAUGUUAAACAUUUUUAGUUUGUCUUUUUUGUUACUGCUACUUUCAACAAGACUAAUUAUUCAGCCAAGUUUAUUUUGUACUUUAAGAAAUGAACAGCUUUUAUGGGUUUUAAGACACAGAUAUGUGCUCACAGUUUGCCCAUAGAAUGCCCAGUGGUCCCACAAUUUUCCCGCAGUAUGCCCACAUUUUUCCCACGUAUUUGUAUUUAAAUAAAUUUUUCCACACAGUAUUUUGUAUUUGUGAUAUCUGAAUUUGUGAUAGUAAUUUGAAUUUUAAAACAAUUCCAUGUAUGUAUGGCUAUCUCAGAUCAUAUGCAUGUGAAAGGCAGUUUCUGGUAUAAAUAGCAGAACACAAAAGGCUUUCUGUGUCAGAAAUGCAGUCAAAAAGUGGGACAACAAGGAUAACUGAUCAUGAAGGUAAGAAUCUUAACCAUGCAAGGUGAGGGAUAUAUUAUGGCUGAAAAAACAAUAAACCAAUUAAUGAAAUAUUCAUGUCAUAUGUGUGUUUGACAUAUAAAUUCGUAUUACCUUUUUGUUAGCUGUCCUAUUUUGAGAUAAUUAUUAGCCUAAUAAUAAUAAUAGUAUAAUUAAUAUUAUAUAAUACAUUCUUGAAACGAGGUUAAACCCUUGGAAAGACAUAGGAAAU